AGUGAACGCUGGCGGUAGGCCUAACACAUGCAAGUCGAACGGCAGCACAGUAAGAGCUUGCUCUUACGGGUGGCGAGUGGCGGACGGGUGAGGAAUACAUCGGAAUCUAUUUUUUCGUGGGGGAUAACGUAGGGAAACUUACGCUAAUACCGCAUACGACCUACGGGUGAAAGCAGGGGAUCUUCGGACCUUGCGCGAUUGAAUGAGCCGAUGUCGGAUUAGCUAGUUGGCGGGGUAAAGGCCCACCAAGGCGACGAUCCGUAGCUGGUCUGAGAGGAUGAUCAGCCACACUGGAACUGAGGCACGGUCCAGACUCCUACGGGAGGCAGCAGUGGGGAAUAUUGGACAAUGGGCGCAAGCCUGAUCCAGCCAUACCGCGUGGGUGAAGAAGGCCUUCGGGUUGUAAAGCCCUUUUGUUGGGAAAGAAAAGCAGCAGGUUAAUACCCCGCUGUUCUGACGGUACCCAAAGAAUAAGCACCGGCUAACUUCGUG
rnacentral:rRNA from 1 species